AAUAGAGGUGCGGAAAACAAUAUCGCCGCGGAGGCACUCCGAUGCCGAGGAAACGGACGAAAGGGUUUUCUGCCGAAACGGGUCGUUGCCGGAGCGGCGGUUCGUUGGGCACCGGGAGAAUAUCCCGGCGACUGUCACACCAGGCUAAUUCCAUUAGCCAAUUGUGGAGCGCUAUCGUU
rnacentral:ncRNA from 1 species